CACCCACCUCGGCCUCCCAAAGUGCUAGGAUUACAGGCAUGAGCCACCACGCCCAGCCCAUACCUGCUCUAUAGAGAGGGUGAAGUUUGCUCAUCUGGGCCUGCAGCACCCAGGAGCUCCUGAAAGAGCUCAUGGCAGUUUCAGAGUAGACAGAGGAUGUGAGAAGCAGUGACUCUUGUUUGGAAAUCUUCUAAAUUGGCUGACUCCCAUUUACAUGCUGUUUCUGGCAGCAGAGAUCAGUCUGGGUCACCUCUAUGCUGCUGAGUAAAUAUGCUCAAAAUUAUUACUAUUUCAGACAAAUGUUUAACUGUUCUCAGAUUAUCUAUAACACCCCAGGCCAAAGUCACAGCAAUCUAACCUGGGAGUGAGUUUACUUUACUUUGUGAUUUAUGGAAUGAGAAUUCUGGGUGCUCUGUGGGACUAAUUUAAUACGAAACAUUCAGAUGUCUGUCUUAUAAUGCCAUUCAUCUUUCCUUAGCCUGCCUGCACCAGGGAGCAUGUGGUUCAGAGAGCAGCCUCUCCCUUCUCAGCCACAAAUCAUCACGCUUGUGAAAGGGGGUGACAAGUCUUCCCUUCUAAGCCAGGCUGCCUGCAACAGAGGGUCUGUCUGGUCUCUGAUGGAAGAAAAGUGUUUUCCACUCUUUCAGGCUGUUGGAGUGUUUUGAAAGGUACAGUUGGCAAAGUAGGAUUCCUAGUCAACAUUGCUUUGGUUUGCCUUUUGGUAAAGGGAAUUUAGUCAGUCUAUACUGUCUUAUCAACAGGUGCAGAUUUGUUUUAUAAGAAGGCAAUGUGAUGUUCUAUGGAUUGACAUAAUGCACGUGAGAAGAAAGUUCUACAAAAAGCUAAACUCUGAUUCAGUGUAGUACUUACAUUUGAAAAGCAGAUAUUUCAAUGCAUGGCUAAAAAGGAACAAAAAUAAAACUUUUUAAACCAACAAGUUACCCUAAAUCUCACAUUCAUCCAACAAAUAUUCAUGAACGCCUGCUAUGUAGUAAGGGCUAUUCAGGCACUGGGAACACAAUUCUGAACACCCUACUUUCAUGGAGUUUGCAGACCAGUGAGAGAAAGGGCAUGUCCACAGUGGUAAGUCCUACAAGGGUGAGCAACAGGUACAGGGGGAGCACAUGGAAGGAAGUUCCCCACACAGUCAUAUAAAAUGACAUGAGAAAGCUGCAGGAAGAAAAUGUGCAAAAUCAUGGAAGUAAGAGAGAAUAUACAAUCUUGGGGAAUGGGGAAAAGUUUAGCAUGGGUGGAGUGCAGAACUCUGUGAACAAAGGGCUGAGAACCCAGACUUCAGAGCCAGGGGACCUCCGGAUUCCAAAGGCCUUUGGGCACAGGGGAGCGAGUUUGUCCUGCAUUUUGAUGGCAACAGAGGGCCACUUAAGCUCUUUAAGUGAGGAAGUGACAUGAUAUGAUUCUUAUUCUAGAAAGAUCAUUCUGGCUACAACUUUGACAAAGAAUUCGAUAGAAGCAAGGCUCUGGGGGUGGGGGUGUGUGCAGUGACUAGUUGGAAAAUCAGUGUUAUUAUACCAGUGAGUGAUGGCAGUGGUCUGAAGUCAGAUAGGUUCUGGAGUCUGGGAAGUUGAAGAUCAAGGUGCCAGCAGAUUCAGUUUCUGGUGAGGAAUCAUUUUCUAACUUGUAGACAGCCAUCUCCUUGUUGUGUCCUGAUAUGGCAGAGAGAAAGAGGUCUCCCUCUCUCUUCCUCUUCUUAUAAGGCCAUUAAUUCUAUUGGAUUAAUGUUCCACCCUUAAGACCUCAUUUAACCUUAAUUACCAACUAAAAGCCUUAUCUCCAAAUAUAGUCACACUGGGGUUUGUGUCUUCAACAUAAAUUUUGGGGCACAAUUCAAUCCAUAGCAGUCACUAUUUUUUUUUUUCUACUCCAAGGAAACCAAAGGGUAUGGCAGUUGAGUUUCUAUCUGGAGUGGGAAAAAUGAGGAGCUAUAUAGAGAUAGGCAUCUGAGAGAAAUUUAUGUAGUUUGAAAAGAUCCCAGAAAGACAUAUUUCUUAUAUUUUUCUUUACCACUAAAAUGUCACUAUUCUAUAGAGAUCAUGUUUUCUACUUACAAACAGAAAAAAAUAUAUAAAUAAUUUAACUAAAACAUACUUUAAAGGCAAAAUAUAAAUUCAAUCUAUGGUUAUUUUACUUGGUUUCUCCUAAGACCUAUUUGUAUGUAAAGUCAAUAAAUUUAGGAAAAAAAAAUUAAAUAUGAAAAUAAAGCAUUUUCUCUGUUGUAACUAAUGAAAUGCUGUCCCUUGAAGGAGAUAAUGACAUAUCAUGCAUGGAAGAAAUAGACUAAGCUCUGGCUGAAGAACGACUUGUAUUCAUGUUCAAUAUUUUAUCUUCAUUCUCUCUGAUAAUAUAUUUUCAAUGACUUUUUUCCUUUAUUUUGGUUAACAUUAAAAAGAGAUAUAAGGCAUGACAACAACUCCUUUAAGGGGAAGAUAAGAUAUCUUUCAACUUCUACUUGCGAUGCUGUGAUGCUUUAGGCACUAAAGCAGAAUUAGAGAGCUGCUGCAGGAAUGGGAGAAGACAAACGCUUCAGGACCAUAGAAGGAGGGGCACAGGCAAUCAUAAAUCAGAGAAAGAUGCUGGUCCUGCAGAAAGAGCCACUAACCCUGGAGAGAGAGCCGCCUUGGUGCAUUGAUGACUGAUGAGCCGACAACAGUUGGAGAUGAGAGUAAGUCUAGCAAUGUUCAAAGAGUGGGUGGGAAGAACAUGGCUAAAUCAUCCAGAAUAGCCACAGCAGUGAAAGCAGUUGAGAGAAAGUCCACAUUGGAUGGGAUUCAAAUACCAUCUGGGGGUUUCAUUAUAGAAGGUAUAGAGAAGCACUUUGAAAUGUGAUCUGUUUCUCAUUCUUCCAGCAAAAGUCUCAAACACUGAAACUCUGAGCUUCUUUGGAGUCACUGUCAUUAGCCAGACACCCCCAGUGAAAUCCAAACCCUACCCUUCCUGCUGCCUGUUCAUUUCUCACACACAGUCCAUCCUCCAGAGGUAUUUUAUACAGCCUGACAGCGUGAAAGGAUACAUUCCUAACUGAUGACAAAGAAUCGCAUGCAAGCCCGUAAAGACAAAAAUACACAGCAUGGAAAAGGAAGAGAUUCGAAGUUUCUAGACAUUCUCUAAGUGUCCUUUUACACAUCUAGGCCACAUUAAUCUUCCCAAAACAUUGUUUUCACCAUGCCAUUUCUUUAUUUACAGGCAAGUAGUGGUUCAAGCACUUGAGUUUAGGAUAGUGUUAUGGACUAAACUGUGUCCACUCCAAAUUCAUGGUUAAGCCCUAACCGCUACUGUGACUAUAUUCGAAGAUAGAGCCUUUAAGGAGGUAAUUAAGGUUAAAUAAAGCCAUAAGGGUGGAGCCCUAUUCCAGUGGGACUGGUUUCUUUAUAUACAAGAAAAAGAAGAGACGCCAGGGUUCUUUCUCUCUCCACAUGCACACAAAGGAAAGGAUAUGUGUGAACACAGCAAGAAGGUGGCUGUCUGUAAGCCAAAAAGGGAGGCCUCACCAGAAACCAACCCAGCUGGCACCUUGAUCUUGGACAUCCAGCCUCCAGAACUGUGAGAAAAUCAACUUCUGUUGUUUCUGCUGUUUAACACUCAGUCUAGUAUUUUGUUAUGGCUGACUGAGAAAACUAAUACAUAUGUAUAUGGGGUCUAUCAUAUGCUUUUAAACAAUCUCUCUGGUCACAUCUAUCUCUUCCAAUUUCUCUGUCCAUGGGGCACCUAUUUAAUACGCUUUAUGAAUUCCAACACCUAUAUUUACAUGGGUGUCCCUAAUCCUUGCUAACCAUUUUUCUGCUUAAGGUGUUGAAUCUUCUCCAUUUCUCAAGUUCCAUCAGAGUUCCUGAUUGAUUCCUCUGUAGAGCCUUGUCUGCCACCCUAGAAAGCAAAAACAAAAAAGUUACCAUUUGGAGGUAGAAAUGGUUCACCACAAGACACCCAGAUGGCAAUAGGAUUUCUGAGGAUGAGGGAGCUGCAUCUUGCUUUUGUUUCUCAGAGUCUCUCUGGAGAAAGGAUUCAUCUAGAGCCCAUAAAACCAAAUCACGCAAGAAAACUUAAUGGAAGGAGGAAGAUCAUGAGGAAAUUAGAACUUUUAUAAAAGAAAAGCAAAAGUCCAAAGAUAGUUUUUGACAUUCAAACAGCAUACUGCCAUCGAACGUGGAAGUCAGGAUGACACAGUCAUGAUCUAUGGUUUCUCCAAAAGCCUGUAGCUCCCACUUACUGUAUCAAGAGUUUAACUUCAGGAUUGACCUGGAGAAAAACCAUCACUCCUGGGCCAGAGGGGAUCUGGGGCACAAGACAGAGAAAGCCAGAAAACUAGCACAGCAUGUCUUGAUUCUCUCUACAGGCUUCACUUUGGGUAUCUUAGUUAAACUGGGGAAACAGUGAGGACACUGCCCAUUGUCCCCUUUUGAGCUACCCUUGCUACUCCAAUCUGAGGCACAGCCAGCCACGUGAACUGGGAUCUGGUUUCUGGGAGGUGCAGCUAAGACCCAGGAGUUGCUGAGAAUCUUUUUGGGGAGCUUUCCAAAAGUGGAUGCCAAGCAGGGGUGAGGUGGCUCUGUAGCAAGGACUGCAGAGGUGAUGAGAUGACCACUCAGUCAUAGUCAGGCUCCAGAGGGCCACAGGAAGCAGAGAGAAGGCUGAAUCAGGGAGGUAGCACACCCACCCAGAGUAUCGUCUGAACCAACAGAAGGAACCAUAAGUCACUCCAGUCAUCGACUUCAGACAGUAGAGCCCAGGAAGCAAGAAGAUCUGCAACCCAAGUGCUUUUUUUCUAUCUUAGAGUGGAACUUAACGUGAGAUUCUGGAGAUAGAGAAAUCUGAAAGCUCUCCCUAAAGGGACUAAUUAAAUUAAUGGAUGGAACAAAAUGUAAACAUGAUUAGAGAAUGCAUAAGGCUCACAAAGAAGGUCAGAUCUGUUAAUGACAAAAUAAAAAGAUGAUGUUCUCUUUGCACAUUCAAACUGUAGUGUGAACUAAAAUACUCAACCCUGUCAAACACAUAAUUUAGUUUAAAGAGUUAAACAGCAAGAUGCAGAGGUGAAAUAUUACUUGUUUAAACAAACUUUGACUUUUUAAAAAGCAAUAUCAUCAAGCAUUUCAUUUUGGCUGAAUAUAUUAAGGUAAAUAAUUCCA
rnacentral:lncRNA from 1 species